AGUUAUGCAGUCCACAAAGCGAACUAUUCUUUCGCCUUUUACUAAAGAAUAUCGUGUGCUCGUUGUUCUAAAAUGGCAUACGCCUAUUUUUGGAGAGUCUUAUUCUUUAUUGUAU
rnacentral:snRNA from 1 species